GUGGAUGAGGCAUGCAAGUCGAACGAAGUUGUAGCAAUACAGCUUAGUGGCGGAAGGGUUAGUAAUACAUGGGUAACUUGCCUUUAACAGUAGAAUAACGGUUGGAAACGACCGCUAAUACUACAUGUGGUGAAACAGGGCAUCCUGUUUUCAUUAAAGUGGGGGAUCGUAAGACCUUGCGGUUAAAGAGAGGCCCAUGGGAUAUCAGCUAGUUGGUGUGGUAAAAGCGCACCAAGGCUAAGACGUCUAGGCGGAUUGAGAGAUUG
rnacentral:rRNA from 1 species